ACCCAAUCUGCAGUCGACGAUUCCUACGGGAGGCAGCAGUGAGGAAUAUUGCGCAAUGGGCGAAAGCCUGACGCAGCAACGCCGCGUGGGCGAUGAAGGCCUUCGGGUUGUAAAGCCCUUUUCUGGGGGAAGAGGAAGGACGGUACCCCAGGAAUAAGUCUCGGCUAACUACGUGCCAGCAGCCGCGGUAAAACGUAGGAGACAAGCGUUAUCCGGAUUUACUGGGCGUAAAGCGCGCGCAGGCGGUUCCGUAAGUUGGACGUGAAAUCUCUCGGCUCAACCGGGAGGGGUCGUUCAAUACUGCGGGACUUGAGGUCGGGAGAGGGAAGUGGAAUUCCCGGAGUAGUGGUGGAAUGCGUAGAUAUCGGGAGGAACACCAGUGGCGAAGGCGGCUUCCUGGCCCGCACCUGACGCUAAGGCGCGAAAGCGUGGGGAGCGAACGGGAUUAGAUACCCCGGUAGUCCACGCCCUAAACGAUGUCAACUAGUCGUUGGAGGAAUUUAAUCCUUUAGUGACGAAGCUAACGCAAUAAGUUGACCGCCUGGGGAGUACGGUCGCAAGAUUAAAACUCAAAGGAAUUGACGG
rnacentral:rRNA from 1 species